GAUGAAGAACGUAGCGAAAUGCGAUAAGUAAUGUGAAUUGCAGAAUUCAGUGAAUCAUCGAAUCUUUGAACGCACAUUGCGCCCGCCAGUAUUCUGGCGGGCAUGCCUGUUCGAGCGUCAUUUCAACCAUCAAGCCCCGGGCUUGUGUUGGGGACCUGCGGCUGCCGCAGGCCCUGAAAUGCAGUGGCGGGCUCGCUGUCACUCCGAGCGUAGUAGUUACAUCUCGCUCUGGGCGUGCUGCGGGUUCCGGCCGUUAAAAGCCUUAUUUACCCAAGGUUGACCUCGGAUCAGGUAGGAAUACCCGCUGAACUUAAGCAUAUCAAUAAGCGGAGGA
rnacentral:misc_RNA from 1 species